rnacentral:rRNA from 1 species
UACGUAGGGGGCAAGCGUUGUCCGGAUUUAUUGGGCGUAAAGAGCGUGUAGGCGGCCAUACAGGUCAGCUGUGAAAACUCGAGGCUCAACCUCGAGACGUCGGUUGAAACCGUAUGGCUAGAGUCCGGAAGAGGAGAGUGGAAUUCCCGGUGUAGAGGUGAAAUUCGUAGAUAUCGGGAGGAACACCAGUGGCGAAGGCGGCGACCUGGGCCAAUAUUGACGCUGAGGUGCGAAAGCGUGGGGAGCAAACAGG